GUCUUUCGUCAUUACCUUCUCGUUUGGUAUGGGUGCCAUUCCAUGGCUCAUGAUGUCUGAGGAGGAUGUUCGUGGCCGCAUAACGGCAAGAGACGGGUACACAGGAUGCCUAGGCGGCUGCGACGCAGGGAGGCCGCGAAGGACGCCACACGGGGGCUGCGGCAUGAGCUCGACGCCGAGCGGGCCUCCGCGGAGACAGUAGCCAGAUCUGGCCAUUGAGUGCCCUGACGCCGCUGCUUACUCAUCCAUCGCCGCGGUGACCUGCUCCCCCUCGGGCAUAUCUGUCCAUUGACACCAAGCAUGUUCUUACCUGAACUGUUCUAAAAGUUCAGUUUCAUGGUUGUUUAUUCUUUUGAUCAGGAAGGAGAGAAAGGGAGAAUCAGUUAGAAGAAAGAAGAGUCCGAAAGCUGAGUAAUUUACCUCAACUUUACUGCCCAUGUUAUUAAGAUCUAUUGAUGAUCGUCCCACUUACUCCUAGGAUGCACAGACUUAAUGGAUCCUAGACUAACAUAUUUAUCACGGGUUUUGGGUUGUCUUCCUUCCCAGUUUUGUUUUACCAGUGGAGACACGGAGAUUGGAGGACAGAAGGGCGCAGCACAGGACUACAGCGAGGUGGGAAGGCCAGAUCAAGCAGGAGACAACAAGAGGAUGUGAUAGAUGGUGAUCUCUGCGAGCAGUAUCCCUCCCUCCUAGCUGAUAUGCAGAGGAAGAUUGCUAAUGAGCUGGACAGAACUCCGACGCCUGCAGCACUGCUUGGUGAGGAUUGCCAAGGAGGAAGACUAGAACAGGCAAGAGCAGCGCUAAUCAGUGACAGAGCAUGAUGCCAUCCAGAUGGGACAAGAUAAGUAAGCAGUCUUAUAUAGUUUGCCCACUCGAGUUUUGUAUAUAUUGACAUAAAUGAAUUAUGCAAAUGUUGCUAGAGUUCUUUUAGGUUGAAGCUUUUGCUUAGUUCAGUGUUGCUAUCGGAAAGCUAAAAUUAUUUUCUUGCCACCUCCUCUGCAUUGUUUUACUGCUUCAGCUCCUGGUGCUUCUAAUCGAGUACUAUAGAAAGCAUCUCU